UACGGAGGGUGCGAACGUUAAUCGGAAUCACUGGGCGUAAAGCGCGCGUAGGCGGUCUGUUAAGUGGGAUGUGAAAUCCCCGGGCUUAACCUGGGAAUUGCAUUUCAAACUGGCCGACUAGAGUACGGUAGAGGGAGGUAGAAUUUCCUGUGUAGCGGUGAAAUGCGUAGAUAUAGGAAGGAAUACCAGUGGCGAAGGCGGCCUCCUGGAUCGAUACUGACGCUGAGGCGCGAAAGCGUGGGGAGCAAAGCAGG
rnacentral:rRNA from 1 species